GAUGAACGCUGGCGGCGUGCCUAAUACAUGCAAGUCGAGCGAACAGACGAGGAGCUUGCUCCUCUGACGUUAGCGGCGGACGGGUGAGUAACACGUGGAUAACCUACCUAUAAGACUGGGAUAACUUCGGGAAACCGGAGCUAAUACCGGAUAAUAUAUUGAACCGCAUGGUUCAAUAGUGAAAGACGGUUUUGCUUUCACUUAUCGAUGGAUCCGCGCCGCAUUAGCUAGUUGGUAAGGUAACGGCUUACCAAGGCAACGAUGCGUAGCCGACCUGAGAGAGUGAUCGGCCACACUGGAACUGAGACACGGGCCAGACUCCUACGGGAGGCAGCAGUAGGGAAUCUUCCGCAAUGGGCGAAAGCCUGACGGAGCAACGCCGCGUGAGUGAUGAAGGUCUUCGGAUCGUAAAACUCUGUUAUUAGGGAAGAACAAAUGUGUAAGUAACUAUGCACGUCUUGACGGUACCUAAUCAGAAAGCCACGGCUAACUACGUG
rnacentral:rRNA from 1 species